GCUGAAUUUAAGCAUAUAAAUAAGCGGAGGAAGAGAAACUUACAAGGAUUCCCCUAGUAGCGGCGAGCGAACCGGGAACAGCCCAGCAUGAAAAUCGGGCGGUCCUUGCGGCCGUUCGAAUUGUAGUCUGUAGAAGCGAUCCCAGCGACGGACCGGGCCCAAGUCCCCUGGAAGGGGGCGCCGGAGAGGGUGAGAGCCCCGUCGGGCCCGGACCCUGUUGCAUCACGGGGCGCUGUCGGCGAGUCGGGUUGUUUGGGAAUGCAGCCCUAAUCGGGUGGUAAAUUCCGUCCAAGGCUAAAUACGCGCGAGAGACCGAUAGCGAACAAGUACCGCGAGGAAAGAUGAAAAGGACUUUGAAAAGAGAGUCAAAGAGUGCUUGAAAUUGCCGGGAGGGAAGCGAAUGGAGGCCAGCGAUGCGCCCCGGCCGUAUGCAGGACGAAGUUUCUUCGGCUUGCCGCUCGGCUCGGGGUGUUGAUCGGUGCGGGCCGAUGUCGCGGCACAAGCGGGCGCACUUGCGUGCGCGCGUGCCGCCGCGACGUCGGUCGGGGAGCCAAGCACGCGUCCUAGUGACGGGCCUUCGGGCGCCUGCGUGCUCGGUGCGCCGGUCUGCGGGCUUUCCAUUCGACCCGUCUUGAAACACGGACCAAGGAGUCU
rnacentral:rRNA from 1 species